GGCCUAAUGGUCUAGUAGUAUGAUUCUCGCUUUGGGUCAUAUUUAUAAAGGUUUCUACUCUUCUGCGAGAGGUCCUGGGUACAAUUCCCAGUUGGUCCC